UACGUAGGGUGCAAGCGUUGUCCGGAAUUAUUGGGCGUAAAGAGCUCGUAGGCGGUUCGUCGCGUCGGCUGUGAAAUCCCGAGGCUCAACCUCGGGUCUGCAGUCGAUACGAGCAAACUAGAGUGUUGCAGGGGAGACUGGAAUUCCUGGUGUAGCGGUGAAAUGCGCAGAUAUCAGGAGGAACACCAAUGGCGAAGGCAAUGUUCUGGCUCGUUUCUGACGCUCAGGUGCGAAAGCCAGGGGAGCGAACGGG
rnacentral:rRNA from 1 species